rnacentral:rRNA from 1 species
GACGAACGCUGGCGGCGUGCUUAACACAUGCAAGUCGAACGGAAAGGCCCUGCUUUUGUGGGGUGCUCGAGUGGCGAACGGGUGAGUAACACGUGAGUAACCUGCCCUUGGCUUUGGGAUAACUUCAGGAAACUGGGGCUAAUACCGGAUAGGAGCUCCUGCUGCAUGGUGGGGGUUGGAAAGUUUCGGCGGUUGGGGAUGGACUCGCGGCUUAUCAGCUUGUUGGUGGGGUAGUGGCUUACCAAGGAUUUGACGGGUAGCCGGCCUGAGAGGGUGACCGGCCACAUUGGGACUGAGAUACGGCCCAGACUCCUACGGGAGGCAGCAGUGGGGAAUAUUGCACAAUGGGCGGAAGCCUGAUGCAGCAACGCCGCGUGCGGGAUGACGGCCUUCGGGUUGUAAACCGCUUUCGCCUGUGACGAAGCGUGAGUGACGGUAAUGGGUAAAGAAGCACCGGCUAACUACGUG